rnacentral:rRNA from 1 species
CCGUAAUAAGGGCGCAGCCUGAUCAGCCAUGCCGCGUGAGUGAAGAAGGCCUUCGGGUUGUAAAGCUCUUUCGGCCGGAACGAAAUCGUCCGAGCUAAUACCUCGGAUGGAUGACGGUACCGGAAGAAGAAGCACCGGCUAACUACGUGCCAGCAGCCGCGGUAAUUGA